rnacentral:lncRNA from 1 species
UACGAGGAAAUAAAAAGGGCAAGUGCCCGGAACCUCGAAGAAGAGAAAAAGUGAGACGAGAGGUAAAAAUGGACAAGUGUCCGACAGUAGAAUUAGGGGUACAAGAUACCCACCUGAGAGGAAAGAAAAAGAAAAUAUAGAGCAUCUCCUUCUCCUCAAAAAGCUUCAAGUGCAAGAAAGGUAUGUAUCCCCUUAAAAGAGCAAAAGUAGAAUUAGACUUUCACCAUUGUUAUCACCAUCAUCACCAUACACCAUUCACUCGCCACAC